UGAGCUUCUGUGAUCCUGUCCUUCCUCAAGCACCAAAUAAUGGUCUUCAGGAUUGUGGUUGUGUUGGUGGUCCCAUUUUGCUCUCUGGGAGUGCGUGUGGUCAGGCACGCGUCGUGGGCGUGGAGUUCUUAACCGAGAUCCUGAGUUGUUUGGGACUUGGCGGUGGAUUGUUGUGGCUCCCUCCUCCUGACGCUUCCUGGUGGUCGCCACGCCAACGCCGUUGUGUUGUCCCCACUUUGCUUCAUGCCUUUUCAGCUGGGUGUCAUUUACCCGAUUGAUGAUUUAUUUUUAUUCUGGCUAGGAUUCAG